rnacentral:ncRNA from 1 species
GGAAAGUUUUAUUUUUACUUAGGGUUUAGCUAUGUUUAUAUUUUACAUGCAAAAUAUUUUAUGGUAAAAAAAAAUUAAUUUUAAAAGUUAAUUUAAGGAAUUUAAGAUCGCAGUAAAAAGUAUUAAAUAUUAAUGAAAAUUAGAUUUAGUAAUAAAUAUUAGUAUUAACAAAAUUUGUGCCAGCAGUUGCGGUUAUACAAAAAAUAUAAGUUAAAUUAUUUAAUUAUAAUUAAUUUUAUUAUAGAUAAAAAUAUAAAUUGAAUUUAUUAGGUGAAAUUUGUAAAUUUAAUUAAAUUUUGAUUAAAGUUAAUGAAGUUAGGAAAUUUUUAAUUUAAACUAGGAUUAGAUACCCUAUUAUUUUAAAAGUAAAUUUUAAAUAUUAAAUUAGUAAUAGUUUAUUUUCUAGAAAGUUAAAGGAUUUGGCGGUAUUUUAGUCUAUUCAGAGGAACCUGUUCUAUAAUUGAUAUUCCACGAUUAAUUGAAUUUAUGUUUUAAAUUUACAUAUCAUCGUAAUUUGAAUAUUUUAAUAGAAAAAUAAUAUUCAAAAUUUUAUAUUAAAAAGUAAAUCAGAUCAUGGUGUAGUUUAUAUAUAAAAAGAAAUGGGUUACAAUAAAUUUAUUUAAAUGGAUAAAUUAAUGAAAUUUAAUUUUAAAGGUGGAUUUGAUAGUAAUUUUAAUAAUUUUAUUAAAAUGAUUAAAGCUCUAAAAUAUGCACAUAUCGCCCGUCGCUUUCAUAUAAAGUGAAAUAAGUCGUAACAAAGUAGGCUUACUGGAAAGUGAGCCUAGAAAGAC